UACGAAGGGUGCAAGCGUUAAUCGGAAUUACUGGGCGUAAAGCGCGCGUAGGUGGUUCGUUAAGUUGGAUGUGAAAGCCCCGGGCUCAACCUGGGAACUGCAUCCAAAACUGGCGAGCUAGAGUACGGUAGAGGGUGGUGGAAGUUCCUGUGUAGCGGUGAAAUGCGUAGAUCGAGGAAGGAACACCAGUGGCGAAGGCGACCACCUGGACUGAUACUUACACUGAGUUGCGAAAGCGUGGUGAGCAAACAGUAUUAGAUACCCCGGUAGUCC
rnacentral:rRNA from 1 species